GAAUUUAAUUAAAAUUAAAUAAUUUAAGCUGAUUAAUGAGUGCAUGCAUAUUGUGUAGUGAUUUGUCUAUUAAUGUGAUUAUUGUGUUGAGAAUGAAUUGUUGAAGUGAAACAAGGCGGCAUCAUGGUAAAAAAGGUGGUCCAGUUGUGUCUGGUGAUGGAGUGUCCGGAAAAGCAUCGGAAAGGUGGAGCCACUCGCUGCGAACGAGGACUCGCCCCAGAGUCAACAGACAAAGGUAC